rnacentral:rRNA from 1 species
CCUACGGGGGGCAGCAGUGGGGAAUAUUGGACAACGGGGGCAACCCUGAUCCAGCCAUGCCGCGUGUGUGAAGAAGGCCCUCGGGUUGUAAAGCACUUUCAGUGAGGAAGAACGCCUGGUGGUUAAUACCCAUCAGGAAAGACAUCACUCACAGAAGAAGCACCGGCUAACUCCGUGCCAGCAGCCGCGGUAAUACGGAGGGUGCGAGCGUUAAUCGGAAUUACUGGGCGUAAAGCGCGCGUAGGUGGCUUGAUAAGCCGGUUGUGAAAGCCCCGGGCUCAACCUGGGAACGGCAUCCGGAACUGUCAAGCUAGAGUGCAGGAGAGGAAGGUAGAAUUCCCGGUGUAGCGGUGAAAUGCGUAGAGAUCGGGAGGAAUACCAGUGGCGAAGGCGGCCUUCUGGACUGACACUGACACUGAGGUGCGAAAGCGUGGGUAGCAAACAGGAUUAGAUACCCUAGUAGUC